AUCCAGCUGACGAGUCCCAAAUAGGACGAAAUGCGGUUGUUGGAU
rnacentral:hammerhead_ribozyme from 1 species